rnacentral:rRNA from 1 species
AACGAACGCUGGCGGCAGGCCUAACACAUGCAAGUCGAGCGGACCCUUCGGGGUUAGCGGCGGACGGGUGAGUAACGCGUGGGAAUAUGCCCUUCUCUACGGAAUAGUCCUGGGAAACUGGGGGUAAUACCGUAUACGCCCUUUGGGGGAAAGAUUUAUCGGGGAAGGAUUAGCCCGCGUUGGAUUAGGUAGUUGGUGGGGUAAUGGCCUACCAAGCCGACGAUCCAUAGCUGGUUUGAGAGGAUGAUCAGCCACACUGGGACCGAGACACGGCCCAGACUCCUACGGGAGGCAGCAGUGGGGAAUCUUAGACAAUGGGGGCAACCCUGAUCUAGCCAUGCCGCGUGAGUGAUGAAGGCCUUAGGGUUGUAAAGCUCUUUCAGCUGGGAAGAUAAUGACGGUACCAGCAGAAGAAGCCCCGGCUAACUCCGUG